rnacentral:rRNA from 1 species
GGCUUGGUAAUUGGAAUGAGGGAGAGUUAAACGGACCAUCGAGUAUCCAUUGGAGGGCAAGUCUGGUGCCAGCAGCUGCGGUAAUACCAGCUCCAAUAGCGUAUAUUAAAGUUGUUGCAGUUAAAAAGCUCGUAGUUGGACUUGUGUGCGCUGUCCGCGGGUGGCCUGCGCCCAAAAGGGCGUUUCGGUUCGGCCCCGGUGGCGCCUUGAAAUCUGCAGCUGGGGGGACGUUGGCCUUAACUGGCCGGCGACCGCACGCCGGCUGCUCGGUUACUGUGAGAAAAUUAGAGUGUUCAAGGCAGGCAUUGGGUGCAAUUGAAUACAUUAGCAUGGAAUAAUAAAAUAUGGCUCCUGCCGUAUUUUGUUGGUUUUGACUGGUGGGAGUAAUGAUUGAUAGGGACGGUUGGGGGUGCUAGUAUUGAGCGGCCAGAGGUGAAAUUCAUGGAUUCGCUCAAGACUAACUUAUGCGAAAGCAUUCACCAAGGACGUCCCCUUUAAUCAAGAACGAAAGUUGGGGGAUCGAAGACGAUCAGAUACCGUCGUAGUCUCAACCAUAAACUAUGUCGACUUGGGAUCGGCGGUAGUUUUUUCAUUAAGACACUGUCGGGACCACGGGAGAAAUCAAAGUGUCUGGACUCUGGGGGAAGUAUGGUCGCAAGGCUGAAACUUGAAGGAAUUGACGGAAGGGCACCACCAGGAGUGGAGCCUGCGGCUUAAUUUGACUCAACACGGGGAAACUUACCAGGUCCAGAGAUGUAGAGGAUUGACAGAUUGAAGCUCUUUCUUGAUCACUUCGGUGGUGGUGCAUGGCCGUUCUUAGUUGGUGGAGUGAUUUGUCUGGUUAAUUCCGUUAACGAACGAGACCUCAGCCUGCUAGUGUAGUCGGCUGGAUUGCCUUUGGCGAUCCGUGAUUUCGACUUCUUAGAGGGACAAUCGACGCGCAGUCGAUGGAAGUUUGAGGCAAUAACAGGUCUGUGAUGCCCUUAGAUGUUCUGGGCCGCACGCGCGCUACACUGCUGGGCUCAGCGAGUUUUACUUGGCCGAGAGGCCCGGUUAAUCUUGUGAAAUCCCAGCGUGCUUGGGCUCGCCUCCUGCAACUGGAGGCGCCAACGAGGAAUUCCUAGUAGACGCAGGUCAUCAACCUGCAUCGAUUACGUCCCUGCCCUUUGUACACACCGCCCGUCGUUCCAUAAGAGUGAGGCAUCCGGUGAAUUCUCGGGAGAGCCUGGGCGUGGCCAGCAAUGGUCUGCUCGGGUUUGAACUUGCAUAAACUUGGUGCCUAUGAUUAGGG